AUCAAAAUUUUGACAGAAGGAAGUAACAAUUGCACCAUGAUGCCAAUCAAUCAACAAAACACAUGAUUUAAUUGAAAACAAAGUUUGAAGGAUUGAGAGAAAAACAUGGAGAAGAAAAGGAAAAAGAAAACAUUAAACAAAGGGAAUUCUUGAAAACAGGAAAAAAUAAAAUAAAAUAAAAAUUAAAACUAAUUUGAUAUUCCCAACCCCCCACUGGCACCUCAAUCUCAACCACCUAAGAAUUUUAGCUCUACCGAAACUCUAUUAGACAAUCGAGAAAAAAUUUACACCCACACUCACGCAGGGAUUCGAAC
rnacentral:lncRNA from 1 species